GAUGAACGCUGGCGGCGUGCCUAAUACAUGCAAGUCGAGCGAACAGACGAGGAGCUUGCUCCUCUGACGUUAGCGGCGGACGGGUGAGUAACACAUGGAUAACCUACCUAUAAGACUGGGAUAACUUCGGGAAACCGGAGCUAAUACCGGAUAAUAUAUUGAACCGCAUGGUUCAAUAGUGAAAGACGGUUUUGCUGUCACUUAUAGAUGGAUCCGCGCCGCAUUAGCUAGUUGGUAAGGUAACGGCCUACCAAGGCAACGAUGCGUAGCCGACCUGAGAGGGUGAUCGGCCACACUGGAACUGAGACACGGUCCAGACUCCUACGGGAGGCAGCAGUAGGGAAUCUUCCGCAAUGGGCGAAAGCCUGACGGAGCAACGCCGCGUGAGUGAUGAAGGUCUUCGGAUCGUAAAACUCUGUUAUUAGGGAAGAACAAAUGUGUAAGUAACUAUGCACGUCUUGACGGUACCUAAUCAGAAAGCCACGGCUAACUACGUG
rnacentral:rRNA from 1 species